CUCUAUUAAGCCUAACCAUGUAGCUGUUAGUCUUCUGCAGGUUAGUUUGAAGGGCUGUAUGAGGCAGGCCUAAUUUAUAAGGGCUGACCCCAUUCAUCAGACUGAGUGGUCCAAGGAAGAAGAAAACCAGUGGAGAGCUAGCCAGAUGAGAAGAUCACAGCAUAAUGUAACAGAAAACCAUAGAAUUAGAUACAGACAGACAAGUGUCUGACUGAGUUUGUUAAAGGUUUUCAUGCCUUUCUCCCCCUCUAGGCUGUCAGAUUCUUUGGGCAAGGACUGAGUCAUCUCUGCAUUCUCAGCACCUGGUGCAAUUUAAGCAGAAAUAUCUUGAAGAUUUUUCGUGUCUUCAGGGAGAUUAGGGAUGGGAAUGGAAUGGGAACGCCAAUGCAGGAAGGAUGAGAAGGUGGGGUUCUUUCCCAAAUGGCCCCUGGCAAUGAGGCUAUUGGUCAAAGCAAGUGACAAGGCCAGUCCAGAGUUCAUGUGGAAGAAGAAGAAGAUACCACUUCUUGAUGGGAAGAAUAGCAAAGAACGCAUGGCCAUCUCUAAUCAGCCACAAACAACAAUAAAAAUUAAUGCUAAUAAACCUUUACAUAGCACUUGGCAGUUAUGGUGUUUUUACAAACAUUGCCUUAUUUUAAAAUGUUA
rnacentral:lncRNA from 1 species